rnacentral:rRNA from 1 species
UGGGGAAUUUUGGACAAUGGGCGCAAGCCUGAUCCAGCCAUGCCGCGUGCGGGAAGAAGGCCUUCGGGUUGUAAACCGCUUUUGUCAGGGAAGAAACGCUCUGGGCUAAUACCCUGGGGUAAUGACGGUACCUGAAGAAUAAGCACCGGCUAACUACGUGCCAGCAGCCGCGGUAAUACGUAGGGUGCAAGCGUUAAUCGGAAUUACUGGGCGUAAAGCGUGCGCAGGCGGUUAUGCAAGACAGAUGUGAAAUCCCCGGGCUCAACCUGGGAACUGCAUUUGUGACUGUAUAGCUAGAGUACGGUAGAGGGGGAUGGAAUUCCGCGUGUAGCAGUGAAAUGCGUAGAUAUGCGGAGGAACACCGAUGGCGAAGGCAAUCCCCUGGACCUGUACUGACGCUCAUGCACGAAAGCGUGGGGAGCAAACAGGAUUAGAUACCCGAGUAGUCCCUGAGCGGGCUGGCAAGGCGCAU